rnacentral:rRNA from 1 species
UACAGAGGCCUCGAGCGUUAUUCGGAAUCACUGGGCUUAAAGGGUGCGUAGGCGGCCAUGUAAGUGGGGGUGUGAAAUCCCUCGGCUCAACCGAGGAACUGCGCUCCAUACUGCAUGGCUUGAGGGAGACAGGGGUAAGCGGAACUGAUGGUGGAGCGGUGAAAUGCGUUGAUAUCAUCAGGAACACCGGUGGCGAAAGCGGCUUACUGGGUCUCUUCUGACGCUGAGGUACGAAAGCUAGGGGAGCGAACGGG